rnacentral:rRNA from 1 species
UACGUAGGGGCCUAGCGUUGUCCGGAUUUAUUGGGCGUAAAGAGCUCGUAGGCGGUUCGGCAAGUCGGAUGUGAAAUCUCCACGCUUAACGUGGAGGGGCCAUUCGAAACUGCCGUGACUCGAGUCCGGUAGGGGAGUGUGGAAUUCCCGGUGUAGCGGUGAAAUGCGCAGAUAUCGGGAAGAACACCCGUGGCGAAGGCGGUUCUCUGGGACGGUACUGACGCUGAGUGCGCGAAAGCUAGGGGAGCAAACGGG